UGUUGGGUUCAUUGACCCACACAUCGUUAAUUCACAUGUGUUAGAACACCACCCCGCCGACGUGGAGGAUGACCUGUGGCGGUUUAUUAGAAAACAGCAACAGAAAAGUGAUAUUCUAUUUCCUUACCAUUUUGGGUUCCACUGGAUUCUUAUGGUAAUUCAAGUUCAGACCUCCUCAGUUCUCGUCCACGACUCUCUGAAUAUGGAUCCGGCGCUUUGGGCCGACAUGAGAAAAAUGAUGCAAAAGGUUUGGAGACGGUUCGUAGAUACCAAGGUCGGUGAAUUCAAAAAAGAGCUACAUUUUAAAAUGGC